UUGAAAUGGAAAAUUUGCUGGAGAAAGUUGAUUAAGUAACAUUUCACGGAAGAGGAGAAUUGUAAUAACCAUUUGAUAGAAGAGAGAUGUCCUUGAACUCAAUCUAUCCUGAAGAUGCUCCUGAGAGGGCAAACAAAUAACAUCUCUCUGGAAGGAUGCCUGCCUUUGUCAAAGCUUUCAAAUCUGUAUGACUUCUAUCUUUCCUUGGCUUCCCUUACUCAAUUAGUCAAGGAUCCUUGUGGAUGUUUAACAUAAAAUGUCACUCACAUCUGCCCUCCUCCUCAACUUUCCAUUCCAUCCUCUCCACAGAUGCCUGAUGCAUUUUCUUCUGACUCAGUCUUCUGUUUUUCAUGGAGAACACAGAGCAAGACAGAAGCUCCCAACUGUGGCAUCCAAGAGCAACUUGAGCUGCUCCCUUACUUAUCUCUGGUCUGGCUCAAACUCUUUGUGAUGACUGUUCUACCAUAUGGCUUAAUAGCUAAGUACACAUGCAUUGACCUCAAGCCUUCCCACAGCUCAGGUUCCUGAGGCACAGACUCUGGAUGGAAAUUAGCACAUAAUAGGUUUAUUAGAAAGUGCUCUUGGAAUUAACAUCUUUGGAGGAAGAAAAGAAGCAAUAUUGUCCAGAGAGGGAAGUUGAACUGCAAUGAAGUUGCCACAGAGGCUUCAAUGAAUCCUUCUGGGUGUAGAGCUGGGAUGACCUUUCCAGAGUUUUCCAAUUAAGGGAAUUGUAUCUCACCUCAAUCUCUAGUCUGAACCUUGGGUGAGGCAGCUUCUUUCAGCCAAUGGCAAUUCCUGGAGGCACCAGGAGUUAUGAGCAGUCAACACUCUUUCUUUGCUCCUGAGAAAAUUGAGUGCCCUCUUUGGUCCUGAAAGCAGCUCUGGGCAGCACUCCACAGCAUCCACUACAGACUUAGUGAGUUCACCCUGGCUCUCCCACUUACAGAUUGCAGCUUUCAGUUGCGACCUUAGGAAUGAGCUCACAAUUGGAAGCAAAUCUGUCUUCUGUUUCUACUGUUAAAGAAUUACCUACCCACUGACAAAAACACAUAGGAUUAACAAUGGCUUUGUCCCAGAUAGAUGCUUUUUGGAAUUGUACAAACUGUAUUUAUGAUGCUUGUACAUUUUGGUCCAACUUUUAAAUAUUUCAAUAAGACUGAUUGAAUUCUUAGUAAAUAGAAUACUUCCUCUGUUCAGUUUUGCUCUGUUGAAUGCUGGAAGUUUGGUGAGUCUGACCCACUACACGUAUCUCAGAUGAUUUAAAAACAAAGGCAGGCCAUUUGGUUUUGAUGCUGUGUCUGUUUUGGGCAGUGUCUCAGAUUGAAAUCCU
rnacentral:lncRNA from 1 species